AGGAUUCCCUCAGUAACGGCGAGUGAAACGGGAAGAGGCCAGCGCCGAAUCCCCUGUCCUCUAGCUGGCAGCGGGAACUGUGGCGUACAGGAAGCGACCUACCUCGAGGUCUACAGCGUCCGAGUCCUCCUGAUCGAGGCCCCUCCCAGGGCGGGUGUCAGGCCUCUACGGCGCGAGACCUCUUGGUCGACAGCUCCCUUGGAGUCGGGUUGUUUGGAAGUGCAACCCAAAGCGGGUGGUAAACUCCAUCUAAGCCUAAAUACUGCCGGGAGACCGAUAGUGCACAAGUAGGGUGACCGAAAGCUGCAACAGCACUUUGGAGAGAGAGUUCAAGAGUACGUGAAACCGCUCAGAGGCAAACUGACGGGACCGCCAAGUCGACCUGCGGGAAUCAGUCGUGCAGGCACUGCCUCUGGCUCGGGGGACGUCGGGGACCGUUAGCUCGGCUCCCGCUCUCUCGGGCGCUGGAGGGCCUGUCGGCGUACUUUCCGCAGGGAGAGCGCCACGACCGGUUUCGGGGCAGCCAGAAGCCUCUCGGGAAGGUAGCCCUGUCGAGGGAUUCGUUCUCUCUUCGGGGAACUUAUAGCCCGGGAACGCGUUGGCCUGUUCGAGGGACCGAGGUGACAUCGACCGCUGCGUCCGCCUUCAGGGCGCAGGCCCCGGUCUCUGGUCUGGACGUCGGAGGGUCUUUCGGGUUAGUUCCCGUCAGCUCCCGAGGCGGCUCUGGGCCAGCAGCACCGGGUGACACGCCUGCACCAGACGCACAGGGUCUGUGGCGAGUCGGUCGGCACCCCGUCAGACCCGUCUUGAAACACGGACCAAGGAGUCCGACACGCGUGCGAGUCAGGGGGCUCUACGAAACCCCAAGGCGCAAUGAAGGUGAAGACCAGGACCCCGUCUUGGUUGAGGUGGGAUCCCUUGUCGCUCGGCAGGGGCGCACCACCGGCCCGUCUCGACGUCCGUUGGGGCAGAGGCGGAGCAGGAGCACGCGCGUCGGGACCCGAAAGACGGUGAACUAUGCCCGAGUAGGACGAA
rnacentral:rRNA from 1 species